CCUGAGAGUGAGUGCUUCCUUAAGUGUUGACCCUGAGUGCCCUGCCUGUCUCACUCUAGUCCCAGCCUUGCCUGGGAAUGACAGCUUCUUAGGCCCACUUAUCAGGAUUCUAGAACCAGAGGAACAAAGUUUGAUCGCUAAGGGGAGCAGGGGUGGGAAUCAUCUCGUUGCUCCACCACCAACCACCUCCCAACCACCCCAGGCCAAGUAUCUUGCAACGUGAAAGCUCGGCUGUAUGAAGGAUUCUGGGUAAUUCCCAGCAAUGAAUAUCGCCAGGGCCACUGGUUCCAGGAAGAGCUGGACUUGAGCCCUCAGGACAAGGGGAAGAAGCAAGUCACAGAUGGCAAGAAAAAACUAGCAGUCAAGGAUGAAUUUAGAGUACGGUGUCAGCCCUGCCACACAUUCCUACUUCUAGCCUGCUCUGGAGCAGCUGCCCUCCUAGGCAACCAGCUGCCUACACUCCAGAGGAGCUAAGCUGAGAAGCGCCUCCACCCAGGGCAACACUGCCAAUGACUAUCCUAUGGAACUUUCAGAGGCCCCAAGAUGGCUCCUCAACCAGAGAAACCCACCCCUUGGUAAGGAUAUGGCCGCCAACCCUUCUCCUCUCCCUGAGACCUCAGAAGCAGUUAGAUAUGCCCAAAAUGAGCCGGCCACUUUUUUUUUUUUUUUUUUUUUGAGAUGGAGUCUCACUCUUGUUGCCCAGGCUGGAGUGCAGUGGCACAAUCUCGGCUCACUGCAACCUCUGCCUCCCGGGUUCAAGUGAUUCUCUUGCCUCAGCCUCCCGAGUAGCUGGGAUUACAGGUGCCCACCACCACUCCUGGCUAAUUUUGUGCUUUUAGUAGAGACAGGGUUUCACCAUGUUGGCCAGUCUGGUCUCAAACUCCUGACCUCAGGUGGUCUGCGCCUCAGCCUCCCAAAGUACUGGGAUUACAGGGAUUAAUCCCUGGCCAGAGCAGGCUACUUCUGAGGACAAACUUCAUCCCUGUCCUUGCUGUAGGUGGUUUCUUGCUCCCAGCCUGACCCCUCCCAGUUCUGGUCCUCAUGCUGCAGGGGAAAUGACUCUCGCGAUGUGAUCUGGGAGGUCUCAGGCAGGGGGCAAG